rnacentral:rRNA from 1 species
GAUGAACGCUGGCGGCGUGCUUAACACAUGCAAGUCGAACGAAGCACUUAAGACAGAUUCUUCGGAUGAAGUUUUUUGUGACUGAGUGGCGGACGGGUGAGUAACGCGUGGGUAACCUGCCUCAUACAGGGGGAUAACAGUUAGAAAUGACUGCUAAUACCGCAUAAGCGCACAGGGUCGCAUGACCUGGUGUGAAAAACUCUGGUGGUAUGAGAUGGACCCGCGUCUGAUUAGCUAGUUGGCGAGGUAACGGCCCACCAAGGCGACGAUCAGUAGCCGACCUGAGAGGGUGAUCGGCCACAUUGGGACUGAGACACGGCCCAAACUCCUACGGGAGGCAGCAGUGGGGAAUAUUGCACAAUGGGGGAAACCCUGAUGCAGCGACGCCGCGUGAAGGAAGAAGUAUUUCGGUAUGUAAACUUCUAUCAGCAGGGAAGAAAAUGACGGUACCUGACUAAGAAGCCCCGGCUAACUACGUGCCAGCAGCCGCGGUAAUACGUAGGGGGCAAGCGUUAUCCGGAUUUACUGGGUGUAAAGGGAGCGUAGGCGGUCUGACAAGUCAGAAGUGAAAGCCCGGGGCUCAACUCCGGGACUGCUUUUGAAACUGCCGGACUAGAUUGCAGGAGAGGUAAGUGGAAUUCCUAGUGUAGCGGUGAAAUGCGUAGAUAUUAGGAGGAACACCAGUGGCGAAGGCGGCUUACUGGACUGUAAAUGACGCUGAGGCUCGAAGCGUGGGGAGCAAACAGG